UACAUUUGUAACAAUGAAUUCGGAUUAGCUGCUACAAGUCAUAUGACAGAAGAUCUGCUGUUUCCUUAUUGAUGUGUUACAAGGGGUUUCAAGUACAUUUAUAAAAGAAAAGCACAAUGAACACAAGGACCACUGUAGUAUUGCACCUUAAAAUGGACGGCGACUAGAGAUUUCUGCUGCUGGAUGGGUAGCCUAAAUAAUGAAGAAAGUGAUAAUUCCUGCGUAAAAUGUAUUAGAUGGUUUUUGCACUGAAAAAUGGAAAAUUAACAAACUUAAAAUGUUAUUUUAUUCCUACUGUA